rnacentral:misc_RNA from 1 species
UGAAGAAGCUGUUGAUCCUGAUUUCUCAAACAUGCCUGGCAGUAGGUCAAGCAGGACGACUUUAUCAGAAAUGGCCGUCCCAGUUGAAGCUCCACUGAGUGUUGUGGAGGAUAUCGUGGAUGAUCCCAAUGAGUCUGGCCUCUUGCUUGAUGCCAAUUUUGAUGUCGUAGGUGACACAAAUAAUGUUGAUGACACACUUACGAUAGGAGCUGAAUUGCCUGGUCCUAUUUCAUUUGCUGCUGCUAAUUAUGAUGAGAAGAAUGCUAAAGCUGCUCAGCAGUGGCAGAAUGAUAUAACUGGCG